rnacentral:lncRNA from 1 species
UGGGGCUUAUGGCUUUUCCUUUGUCUUAGGUGGUUGAGAGACAGAACAGUUUGACUUGAGCACUAACUUUCUCAUUCUUAGCAAGUUUCAUAUCAGAGGUUUUGUGAUAUUUUCAAAAGAAAGCUUAAAUGUUCCUCUUAUGGUUCUCUCAUGUCACUCAAAUGGUGUAUGAUUCCUCACCAAGGCAUAUGGUAAGAGUUGCCUUCUCUAUUUCAUCCUAUUUCUAAAAGGCUUAUGUGGAGUUCAAGGUAGGGAUGAAAGGAGAUAGCAUACUUACUUUGCAUAUAUUGCGAAGUCAAAGCUCGGAUCCUUGAAGAGAAGUGUCAUACUCCCAGAUCAAGAUGUGCAAGUGUGAUAUAUGGUGGACUAGGUUGCUCCUUUAUUUGAUAGACUCUCUAUGUAUUGAGACAUGGCUAGCAUUUUUUUCUUCUUUUUUUUAUAUAUAUGAGCUUUCAUGUGCUCAAUUUUCUUUUUCUGUGGACUUGCACAUGUCCAUCUUUUUAUUUCAUUUUGCCUAGCCUUUUGAUGUCUCAUUUACCAAAUAAUGCUUAGAGAGAUGUUCUAACAUUUAGAGUAUGGAGCAACCUAUUUAGUGGAUGCGAAAUACAUGUGGUUGCGUACUUCCAGUGUAGAAGCAGCAUAUAUAUAUGUGGUGUGUACGUGAUCUUGAUCUUAGGAGCAUGAAAAGUCUCUUAACAAGGGUCAACAAGACUUGACGACACUCAACACAAAGCAAAUAGCUUAUGUGGAAAGGUUGCAAUUAUGUAAAGUAGAUAUGGCUGUGGUAGGAAUUCAUCACCAUUGAGGAACAAUUAAGGUUUUGAUCAUUUUAAGAAUAAAUCUCUGAUAAUCAUGCAUGCUUAGAAAAAUAUUAUAGUAGCUCUUGUCUUACUAUCUCAUGUCCCACAACAACUUAGACUUAGUUCUAGCACUUGCAACCCACAAAGUUUUUAGGUUCAUGGCAGUUUAAGUGAGCUAAGUGAUCCAUACUUAGAGAAAUACUAAGUUGUAUACUAGGCACUAGAGAAACAUUAACAAGCAACUAGUCAUCAUUUCCAUGAGGGAUAUAAACAUACAUGAAGCAUAUAUGCUAAAGGGAAAUGCUAAUAAAUAUAUUUUUUUAAGUAAGAAUGAUAAAAUGCAUGAAAAUAAAUAGGAUAGAAUACUUACCUUAGUGGGGGAGAGGAUCUCCCCCAAGCUAGAUCUUCGCUCACUGUGGUGGCAGGAAAUUCUGGUACCAUCCAGCCCAGCGUUGUGCGUCUUCCUCUCGCACACGUCGGAUAUGUUGGCCGUUUUGUAACGCCAGUUGCAAUGUUGCUUCUUGCCCAAUCUGCAAUUCGCCCAUGUCAUUAAUGAGACUGUCCAUACCUG